rnacentral:rRNA from 1 species
CAAGUCAUCAUGGCCCUUACGACCAGGGCUACACACGUGCUACAAUGGCGCAUACAAAGAGAAGCGACCUCGCGAGAGCAAGCGGACCUCAUAAAGUGCGUCGUAGUCCGGAUUGGAGUCUGCAACUCGACUCCAUGAAGUCGGAAUCGCUAGUAAUCGUGGAUCAGAAUGCCACGGUGAAUACGUUCCCGGGCCUUGUACACACCGCCCGUCACACCAUGGGAGUGGGUUGCAAAAGAAGUAGGUAGCUUAACCUUCGGGAGGGCGCUUACCACUUUGUGAUUCAUGACUGGGGUGAAGUCGUAACAAGGUAACCGUAGGGGAACCUGCGGUUGGA